UACGUAGGGUGCGAGCGUUGUCCGGAAUUAUUGGGCGUAAAGAGCUCGUAGGCGGUCUGUCGCGUCGGCUGUGAAAUCCCGAGGCUCAACCUCGGGUCUGCAGUCGAUACGGGCAAACUUGAGUGUUGCAGGGGAGACUGGAAUUCCUGGUGUAGCGGUGAAAUGCGCAGAUAUCAGGAGGAACACCGGUGGCGAAGGCGGAUCUCUGGGCCAUUACUGACGCUGAGGAGCGAAAGCGUGGGGAGCGAACAGG
rnacentral:rRNA from 1 species